CCCACCCAGUGACCCACACGCUCUUUGUCUUUUGCCAUAACUCUGUCCUUCUGUGUCCUUUUGAUGUUUAGGAGGAGCUAAACUCCUGCAGGAGGACGUGACGUGGCAAUGCUCACUCUGACUUACUCAGAACCACAAGUGGAGUUUGGGGACCUGUGCAAAGGUGUUGCUGAGGCUUUUCCAGUUGGAGAUGGCAGCGGAGACACCCCAGAACCAGAUCCCUGAAGGACUGACCAGUGAAUGAGCCCUGUGUCCAGGGAGUUUGGUGGCCAGACCCACACAUCCAGGCUUGCUCAGAUCACUCUCACAGGAAGGCAACUGCAUAUUUGUGGCAGGCUUGAGUUGGGAAAACUUCAGUCAAGCCUGGCUAUGAAAUAG
rnacentral:lncRNA from 1 species